GACGAACGCUGGCGGCGUGCUUAACACAUGCAAGUCGAACGGUGAAGCGCCUUCCUUUUUGGUGGGUGUGGAUGAGUGGCGAACGGGUGAGUAACACGUGAGUAACCUGCCCCCUUCUUCUGGAUAACCGCAUGAAAGUGUGGCUAAUACGGGAUAUUCUGGGUCUGUCGCAUGAUGGGUCUGGGAAAGAUAUUGUUUCGGUGGGGGAUGGGCUCGCGGCCUAUCAGCUUGUUGGUGGGGUGAUGGCCUACCAAGGCGGUGACGGGUAGCCGGCCUGGGAGGGUGGACGGUCACACUGGGACUGAGACACGGCCCAGACUCCUACGGGAGGCAGCAGUAGGGAAUAUUGCACAAUGGGCGCAAGCCUAAUGCAGCGACGCCGCGUGAGGGAUGGAGGCCUUCGGGUUGUGAACCUCUUUCGACAGUGAAGCAGGCCUGCCUCGUUUGUGGGUGGGUUGACGGUAGCUGGAUAAGAAGCGCCGGCUAACUACGUG
rnacentral:rRNA from 1 species